rnacentral:lncRNA from 1 species
CAAAGCAAAAAAGGACAAUGAUUGCCACAUGUCCCUCAACCACUAAAUCCGACCUCUAUCCUACUCAAAAUAAAUCAGCAUGUGUCCUCUUUUCCUUGUCCUGGUAUGAGAAACCAAAAAAAUGGAGCAAACCGCAUGUUCUUCUAAUACUAGAAAAAUACUAAAAAAAGAAAAGAAAAUCAAUAUACUUUUUUCUUUCUAUUGCUCUAUAUUCUUUCCUAAUUACAUCUCUUUUACUU